rnacentral:tRNA from 1 species
GAGGAUGUAGCUCGGUGGUAGAGUGCGUGCUUAGCAUGCACAAAGUCCUGGGUUCAAUCCUCAGUACCUCU